rnacentral:rRNA from 1 species
UACGUAGGUGGCAAGCGUUGUCCGGAAUUAUUGGGCGUAAAGCGCGCGCAGGUGGUUCCUUAAGUCUGAUGUGAAAGCCCACGGCUCAACCGUGGAGGGUCAUUGGAAACUGGGGAACUUGAGUGCAGAAGAGGAAAGUGGAAUUCCACGUGUAGCGGUGAAAUGCGUAAAGAUGUGGAGGAACACCAGUGGCGAAAGCGACUUCCUGGUCGAAUACUGACGUUCAUGUGCGAAAGCGUGGGGAGCAAACAGG